UACGUAGGGUCCGAGCGUUGUCCGGAAUUACUGGGCGUAAAGAGCUCGUAGGUGGUUUGUCGCGUUGUUCGUGAAAACUCACAGCUUAACUGUGGGCGUGCGGGCGAUACGGGCAGACUGGAGUACUGCAGGGGAGACUGGAAUUCCUGGUGUAGCGGUGGAAUGCGCAGAUAUCAGGAGGAACACCGGUGGCGAAGGCGGGUCUCUGGGCAGUAACUGACGCUGAGGAGCGAAAGCAUGGGGAGCGAACGGG
rnacentral:rRNA from 1 species